CCUGGCUAAGUGGUACCAAUCUCUACCCGUCAGUUCCGUCUCCCCCUACUGCGCCGGUAGGCAAUUCAUCGCCAUCGCAUUUAAUUCCACCCCCUUCCCCUCCUCCUCUCCCUCCCAAUAACAAGUCUACACGCAAACGCAAGCAAAGCAUCCCAUCCCAUCCCUCUGCCACCUCUUACGUGCGUCUCUGGAUCGGUCGGUCGUUCGAUCGGGGAGGAAUUCGGUAAGUGCGGAAGAAGAGAUGGAGAGCUCGUUGCAAUCCGCAGGCCUUUUGGAGCAGAUGAAGAUCCAUCUCUCCACCGACGCCGGCAAGGAGGUCACCAAGAAGAUCGGCCUCGUCUACCAGCUCAACAUCGCCCCAAAGAAGAUUGGGGUGGAUGAGGAGAUCUUUGUCGUCGACCUCAAGCAAGGAAAGGUCACCAAAGGCCCGUAUGAUGGAAAACCAGAUGCGACCUUCUCGUUCACCGAUAAGGAUUUCCUCUCUAUUGCUACAGGAAAGAUGAAUCCGCAGAUCGCAUUCAUUAGGGGAGCUAUGAAGAUCAAGGGUAGUAUAAGUGCAGCGCAGAAGUUCACUCCAGAUAUCUUCCCGAAACCUUCGAAGCUUUAAUUUGGAAGCUAAUUCGUCCUUUUCUCUUUAUGGACAAUAAAAUAACGUCGCUUUUUGAUUUAUGGCCCUGUUAUGGAAGGAUCAGACAUGGAACCAAGUAAUGUUAUAUGAGAAUGUUAAGAAAAGGACUGUGUUAUCCUCUUUGUUUGUUUUUGCUUGAUCCUUUUAUAGAACAUGGACAACGGAAUUUAAAUUUAUGUCAUGCUGCUUCAGAUCUUUUUAGUGGAA